CAGUCGCCGCGGUAAUACGAGGGGGGCAAGCGUUGUUCGGAAUUAUUGGGCGUAAAGGGUGCGUAGGCGGCUUGACAAGUCUUGUGUGAAAUCUAUGGGCUCAACCCAUAGUCUGCACGGGAAACUGUCGGGCUUGAGAAUGGGAGAGGUGAGUGGAAUUUCCGGUGUAGCGGUGAAAUGCGUAGAUAUCGGAAGGAACACCUGUGGCGAAAGCGGCUCACUGGACCAUUUCUGACGCUGAUGCACGAAAGCUAGGGGAGCAAACAGGAUUAGAUACCCCGGUAGUCCCUGUCUCUUAUAU
rnacentral:rRNA from 1 species